AAACUUGUUUGGGUUUACUCCAGAGCUCUUGAUUAGUUUCAGAAAGCAAAAAUGGGGUGUUCAGAGUCAGAGGGGCCGAGGAUGAGGUAGCUCCAAGGGAAGAGGCUGAUGACAUGCACAUUUUCAGACCAUCUUGUCCUUUAAGGGAAAAAAACGAGCAGCAGUGGGCAGUUUAAGGAAAGCGGCAGCUUGUUUUUGUUUGGCUGCGCUGCAAUACGUGGGAGUGUUUUAUACCGGGAAAUAGAGGACACGGCAGUGUCGUUGCUCUAAACCGCAAAGAACUUCUGGGACUCAAACUCUUCAAACUUGUAUGCAUAAAAUAUUUACUAACACGUUUUGUUGUAAGAGGGUCGACAAAAAUAAACUUGUUUAAUGUUUAAUAUCAUCCAUUAUUAAUACAGUUUUAAAUUUCAGUUUGCUUCUUGUAUUUCUCUCAGCUAGUUUGCCUGAAUACUGACUGCUGGGUUUCUAUUCCCUACCACAGUGCUGCAGCAAGGAGCCACCGGGGAAUGCGAGGCUUGUUAAAAGGUUGUUUGAUCAGCUGUUGUCUCAAAUUAUUCCGAACCACUUAAACUUUAUUGAACAGUUCAUAUGUAAAUGGCAGGAGAAUCACGGAGGGCCCGGACAUUAGGCAGACGCAGUAUCUCACCAGAAGCUACAAGGCAGAUAUUUAACUACCAUCUGCUCUGGAUAAUCCAAAAAAGGGGACUGAAGCGCAGCAGCGUUGAUGUACAAAGGCAGUGCAAACUGCUGAAACACAGGCUUAGGAGCUUCUAUUUUGCACAAAGCUGGGGUGAGAAAUCUACACCAGUGCAAAUGUUGUUAUGCCUACGGAUGUUACUUAUUCCAUUCGUAUAGCAUGGUCCUGUUUUUAAUGAGCAGGCAAAAGUACUUGGCAGGUAAACGGCAUAGUCAUGGAAUAAGUAUUAGCUACUGUGAAAUUGAAUUCUGGACUUUUGUGUGUAACACAAACAGUAGUGCACACGCAGCAAAUCUAAUAUUCCCAGGGAGACCAGGGCUGCCACGCCACUGCCCCUGGGAGGAGAGGAGGGAAUGAAUCUGGUGGAUAUGGAGGACAGGGCCCUGACACAGCAAGAGGAAAAAAAGAGGCAGAAAAGAGGUGAAUGACUGUACGGGCACCUGCCUCAGUCAGUGUACAGGAGGGACAGCACGCACUCUGUAAGAAAGCAAUGUUUCCCAGUUCAGCGCAUGCGCUAUUUACUGCAUGCUGUCCUGCCCCAGCCCCAGCUCUGAAGAAGAAUUAUCCCUUAGGAGGUUUCCUAUGGAGCUCACCACCAACACGUCUGAGUGCUUCACACCAUUAACUGUUUAGUUUUCAUCUCUGAGACGCGUACAGUUCCCACAGAGAGGAGGUGGCAAAACACAACAGCAAAAGCAAAACGCCAUCUGUCUCUUAUGGAGUCUCCAACUGCAAGUGCCAAGGAACUGAUUUUCCAGACAGCUUCAUACUACACAGCUCUUUAUAUGUUCAAAGUGCAGUUCCCAUUGACUUCAGCCACAGCUGUGGAUGCUCGGCCCUGCGUUUCGGACUUCAUGAUGCCAGGCUGUUCACUCAGAAAAGAAAACGACCUGCAAAUAGUGGUCAUUAGAGCAAAUGCGGGUUGAAGCAAUUUGCCUGGAUUUCUGUGACGAGCCCCUACAGAAUUUGGUUUCCCACGUAGCCUUCAACUGCCUGAACCAUUACGUAUUAAUUUCACUUCUUGUAAUCCUCUGUCUCGCUCAUUUUACAGCUUCUAACCUCUGCAACAGCUGAAGCAGGGAUUCGGCAGACGCUAACCUCCUUUGCUUCACACUCUCAGGUUUUUAGGCUUUUUUUCAGGCUGAUAUCCAUUUGGGCCGCCAGCAUGGGUGCAAUGUUUAGUGUACGCCUUAGCUCGUGAAAUAACUGCACUGAACUGAUCUCCUCCAGCAAGCACUUCAUUAGAGGGAGUGCAGAACUGCACCUGGACAUCCGAAGUGUUUGCCAAGAGCCAGUAAAAGAUGAGAUGCGGGAACUGAAUUUCGCUCUUGGCUGAACGGGCCAGGAGUAGAAAAUAGUGGACAGUUUCUUUAGCCAGUCCCCAUUUUGCUUUUCCCUUUCAAUCCUCAGCCCAUCCAGCUUGUUCUAGUCCUGUUUUUUUCCCCCUGAUAAUUUUCUCUUUCCUAGUUUGUCCCUGUCUCAGGUUAUCCCAAUCACAGAGACAUACCCAGGCAAUCCUGUUCAGCUACUUCCACACCCUUGUCCAGAUGGUCUCUCCCUACCUGCACCUCUAUUUGUGUCACCCCUGUUCUUCAUCUUCUUUGGUUCCAGUCCUAGUGGCCGGGAACGGUGCUGAUACUCAUUUAACGAAAUCCAAAGGCAGUUGGAAGUGACCAACAGCAAAGCAAAUCUCUGUCAGGCACUUUGUUUCAAAGUGAUUCUCCACCACCACGUCCAUCUCCUGUCCCGGUAACUCAUCCAGUCUCAGAGUAACUCUGUCCUGGCCUCCGUGCCUGGCCCGAACCGAUUCUGUUCCACUCUACAAAUCCCUUCCAGGUUUGUCUUCAUUUCCCCCAGUUCUUCUGGCUGCUGCACUGGUUCCCAGGCCUUCUCUGCCUGUCCAGCCAGCUCUUUCUUUAGCUUUUGGUUCCAGUCUUUACAUACACAUGUUUUUCCCUGUAGAUAGUACCCAGUUUUAGUUUCUCCCCAUCUUUUCUCUGGAGUUUUUGUGCCAAUUUGCUCCCAACUCUAGUACAGCCAAAGGCUUGUCUCCCCUGCAUCUUGCACAGCAAACUCAGGUGGCCCUGAAUAUCUUCACCAUACCCUUUAUUUUUUGCCAGUUCUUUGGCAUGGCUUUUACUGCCAAUGGUCUUCUGAUGCUGAGGAGGCUCCUGAGGCUCAACAAAACGGUCAGUCGAUGAGCCAUCAGGUCCAUCCUCCCACUUUCCCCGAUGGAGAUCCUAUUUCUGCGGCGCGCCUGUCCUCUGCCUUGCUGUGAUGGGUGAGAUCCGAGGCUGUUCCCAAACCUGCUUCUCUCAUCCUCUUAAACACGUAACUUGGCUGCCAAGUCACGGAAAUAUACUUGGCAGCCUGCGAUAGCAACUGGAAACACAACAUACACAAUCUGAUUGUCAAAAAAAGGUCACCGUAGAGAAGAGAGUCAGAGCUGGAUUUUCAGGGGGGGUGAGAUUCUUCGGGGAGCGACUGUGUUUGCGUGGGUAGAUCGUAAAGAGUACCUGCGGGAGCAAAGAGGCAGUGUCUGGAAGGCUAUGGGAAGAGCGGGAAGUUAGGGACAGGAAGCAGAUUGUUUCAUGGAAAUUUGCUCUCCCCACAUUAUUGUCCCUAUAUCCUUCCACGUGGUCAUGAAAAUCUCAGUGUUGCUUUCAGGUGUGUUUUCUGUAGUUACAAACUACCGCGAAAAUGUAUGAUGCCAUCUUUAAGAGCUGGAAGUAUAGGAAAUGUUCCUCUCUGUUACUUAACUGACCUGUCUAGAAGUCUUAGAUCAGAUAUUUUCACCACUUCAUGGGCUCUAAUGUAGCUGUACUGGCAAAAUUGUCCGAGGCUGUGGUUUUUAUGUUAUAGCUGAGCUGAUCUGCUGAGAGGCAUGGUCCUGCUCCUGUUCCCUUACCUUCAUCUGCACCUCCUCUGGCCCUUCUUGACUCCGCAGUGAACUGGUGUAAAGUGCUAAAUCAAAAGAAAACUACUCAUUUAUUUUUUCUGGAUUACUCUUCUGACAGUUUGGGGAGCUGCCUUGCUAUGGGGAUAGAGAAGAUCAAGAGUCAAGCCAAGAUCAAUGAUGGGAAAACUUGAAUGGGGGCAGGAACGUCCCUUUCAUCAACACCUAGCUGUUAGCUUGGCUUAGCUGUGACACAAAACCUCACCCAUCAUGUAGGCAUGGUUUCUACUGACAAGGAAAGUACUUCUGUCAAUAUAAUUUGUACUGAUUUUGGGGGCAACCUAAGCAGCACCAGUUAUGACACUGUUCCGUUGUGAAUGGCAGUACUGCUAUCUGUGCUAGUACGCUAGAUUUUCUGCUUCAAAAAUGUCCCACAGAUUAAAAACACUACCUCAAAAUCAUGCCCUUAAGCAACCUGCCUUAGCAUAUGGGAAUUACUUCCAGGCAGAACUUGCAAAUCUUGAGCUGACCGCUUAUGUAUGGACGUCGGUCAUGUCACAGGAGACCCUAGGACUUAGUAAAUAUACUUUUCAAUCAUGUGAAGUCCCAAGCUAAAGUAUGUUUAACCUUCAGAGCACCGUACAGACACCAACAGCCAUCACAGAGGUAAUGGGUGCCCAUGGUAGUCCUGCAAAUCCUCUGCCAGGAACUGGGAAAACCUCUGCAGAUCUCUACCUUCAAGGAACCCAGUAAACCUGAAUGAGUGACCAUUGAGGUCUUAUUGCAUGGAAAAGUCCCAGUGCGCUGUGCAGACUGGAGGGGUUUUGUGUGCUGGGGUUUGUAGUUUCCAAGGCACAGAGGCCGUUACCAGGAUACUGCUGUAAACAGUGCCAGGAGCUGUGCUGUCCCCGCACUCCCACCAGCCUCCCUGCAAGCACCAUGCAGCCCGUAAGUCUCCCGAGCUCCUCCAGCCCCCGCUGCUGUGGCUCACAUCCGCCCCUGCUCUAGAGCCUCACGGCGUAUUAUAAAAAGGGGUUUUGGGGGAUCUGUUUGCUGAAUGGGCCGACAAUAGACUAAUGCUUCUUAGGGGUUCUCCAACCCACGUUAGUUAUAUCCUUCCUGCAUGUCUAUCCCAAAGGUGGAUGGAGCUUAAAAAUGGUUUGCAUGGGUGAAGGACCUGCCCAACCUCUGAAAAAUGCGGUGAGGCUAAACCAGGCUGCUGACCGAGGGGGUGAAAGGGACUCAGUGGGUUUUCUUCUCACCAAAGGAAGAGGUGUGUGCGCAGCUCCGUGACACCUGCUGUUUAUUUUGGAUUAAAGUGAGAUUGGGGCUGUGCCUGUGCAGUGGGGGAUAUUACUGGAGCAUGUUUCUGCAAACUCGAGUCAGAACUUGGGCAUUUUCCUGCCAGUUCCUCUGAUGUUUUUGGCAUCUGGGCGCCCCGUGGGUUGGCGGGGUCUGGGUCAGGGUCUGGAUCAGGCCCUUG